CUACGGGACGCUGCAGUGGGGAAUCUUGGACAAUGGGCGCAAGCCUGAUCCAGCCAUGCCGCGUGAGUGAAGAAGGCCUUAGGGUCGUAAAGCUCUUUCGCCAGAGAUGAUAAUGACAGUAUCUGGUAAAGAAACCCCGGCUAACUCCGUGCCAGCAGCCGCGGUAAUACGGAGGGGGUUAGCGUUGUUCGGAAUUACUGGGCGUAAAGCGCGCGUAGGCGGAUUAGUCAGUCAGAGGUGAAAUCCCAGGGCUCAACCCUGGAACUGCCUUUGAUACUGCUAGUCUUGAGUUCGAGAGAGGUGAGUGGAAUUCCGAGUGUAGAGGUGAAAUUCGUAGAUAUUCGGAGGAACACCAGUGGCGAAGGCGGCUCACUGGCUCGAUACUGACGCUGAGGUGCGAAAGUGUGGGGAGCAAACAGGAUUAGAUACCCUAGUAGUC
rnacentral:rRNA from 1 species